rnacentral:lncRNA from 10 species
CUUUUUGGAAGAGUAUUUCUAUUUUAAGUUAUUCCUCAGACUUGAAAGGAAACACAGACCAACUUUCCAGUGAUGAAUACUUCAGAAUGAAACUGCAGUGGAAAUCCAUCAGCCAGGAACAAGAGAAAAGAAAUUCGAGGUUAAGAGAUUAUAGAAGUCUUAUCGAAAAAGAUGUUAACAGAACAGAUCGAACAAACAAGUUUUAUGAAGGCCAAGAUAAUCCAGGGUUGAUUUUACUUCAUGACAUUUUGAUGACCUACUGUAUGUAUGAUUUUGAUUUAGAAAUUUGUUGUAAGAACUGAUGCCGGGGCUGGGUGCGGAGGCUCACGCCUGUAAUCCCAGCACUUCAGGAAGUCAAGGCAGGUGGAUCACCUGAGGACAGGAGUUCAAGACCAGCCUGGCCAACAUGGAUAUGUUCAAGGAAUGAGUGAUUUACUUUCCCCUCUUUUAUAUGUGAUGGAAAAUGAAGUGGAUGCCUUUUGGUGCUUUGCCUCUUACAUGGACCAAAUGCAUCAGAAUUUUGAAGAACAAAUGCAAGGCAUGAAGACCCAGCUAAUUCAGCUGAGUACCUUACUUCGAUUGUUAGACAGUGGAUUUUGCAGUUACUUAGAAUCUCAGGACUCUGGAUACCUUUAUUUUUGCUUCAGGUGGCUUUUA